AUUGGAUUGGUAUUUUAUCAGUAGAAAUAUGAAGUAAUGGCAACUGACUGAUGGCAUAUAAUAGAGGAAGGAAGAGAGGGUCUUGGAGGCUGCAUUAUGGUAGUUCUGAGGAAAAUAAGGAGAAAGGACUCAAAGCCUUCUAGAAUAGGCUAUCAAAGGGGAAAAAGGAAGAAGGAAAGAUGGAUAGCCUGUUGUAGUUGAGAACACGCUGAAGAGAGAGCGUAAUGAGAAAAUGGGUGAUGUGAAAUAACCUUUCAGAUAGCUUAACUGAAAAGAAUGUAGUUCAUACCGCAUGUCUCCAACACUAAUAAAACUGCUGUUCCCUAAACUGUUUGCUAAAUGGCAAUGGCUAAGAAGCCGGAGAGAACUGGGGAAAGAUUGGUAUCCAUGAACACUCCCUUUGGUGGGAGAGAUCCUUCCAGUUUGAAUCUUUAGGCAUUUACAUUUAUGAGAGAAACUUGAGUUGAACCAGCAGUUGUCAAAUGAACGAGUGCUGGCAUGAACUUCCCAGUUUUGUCUUAUACCACAAAGCCCUCAAAAGUCCUCCUAUAUAGGAUUGGUCCUGGAAACAGAUCUUACUGGAGAGGAAAAGGUGAGGACAUGCUGCUUUUUCUCUGUGCCCCAUAGUUUUAAUUGAGCCUCAAGUGAAUUUCCUUAGAAGUCAAUGGUGGCUCCAUGUCCCAGAAGGGACAGGGGAAGUGUGUGAAACAAGAUGAGAGGUGGGACCAUUAUUCCCAGAACUCUUCUGACUUCUUUUUAGACCCUGGUCAAGGAUAGAGCUGUUUGUUGUAAUAAAAUAUCCAGUAGCAGGAAGUUGAAAUGGAGGUUAUACUAAAAAAAGACCCCCCAAACAAAACAAAACAAAAACUCAUGCUAAUUUUAGCUCCAUUCAAAACCUAGGGGGAAAAAUCAAUGUUUACAAAAUUAAGAUUAAUGAGCUGCCAAAAUUCAACUCAUUAGUUAGCAACUAUGUAGUGAUGAAGUUUGUGCUGGUUGGAUUUAAAGGAAAUUAAAACUAUCAUUGGGAAUGCCUGUCCCCUUAACAUUUUGGCUUAAUGAUUAUGGACUUUUCUACUAAAAGUACUGGUAGCCAAGGAGUGGGUCUAAAAAUCCCUAGCUAAGAAUUUACCCACUUCACUUGACAUGGAGAGGGUCUUGUCAGGAUAUGUUGAGUGCUGAAGAUCAUGGUUAUUACAGCUUAAAAGCUUUUACAGAUAUUGAUCCAGACAUUAGAGUGACCCUCCUUGUGUAGAUAAAACACUCCCAGAGACUUGAAGGAAGUGUACCAGGAAAAGGCAAACACUGAGACUUCUUCCCUUUUGACAAACAUGGAACUCUUUUCCUCCUUCCAGGAAGUACUGUGUUGAGAUGAAAGCUAUGGAAAUCCUAGGAUGGGUUUGAACUGGUUGUGUGUAAAGGUUUUGCCUUAUACAAUAUCUGUGGGCAUAAGGUGGACAUAUGGCAGGCUGGCUUAGAGGGAUAAUUGCAGAAAAGAAUGAUAGAACUGAGUGUGUUUAUAACGCUAAUCUGAGGUAACACAGGCAGAAGUUUCUAGCACAAUGUCUGGCACAAAAUAAGGAGUAGAAUGGUCAUUUGGUAUUUCUAUUUUUAUAGUCACAUUUAUUUAUUUUAGUUCAACGUUUACGUUUAGAGUUGCUUUAUUGCUUCAUUGGGAAAUCUGAAUUUAACCUUCUGACUAGUGAUCAGUAUAUCAGAAAAAUGAUAUUUUACUUCAUGUAGGUCUUAUAACCAGCAUUGGCCUGUAAGAGUUCUCUGAUUUCAGAAAACAGUGGUGAACAUUGGUCUUUGAAAAUUCCGGGGGCACCUGGGUGGCUCAGCCUGUUAAGCAUCUGACUCUUGACUUCAGCUCUGGUCAUGAUCUCACAGUUCAUGGGUUCGAGCACCACAUCGGGCUCUGUGCUUUCAGUGAAGAGAUUCUUAGCUUGGGAUUCUCUCUCUCCCUCUCUCUCUCUCUGCCUCUCCCCUGGUGACACUCACAUGCUCUCUCUCUCUCUCUGUCUCUCAAAAUAAAUCAAUAAACAUUAAAAAAGAAAAGAAAAUUCCCUUAAAGUUCUAUAUGAAAUGUAAUUCUGGAUUUCCUUGAGCCUGAUUUCUCCAUGUUAUAUGUGGAAAGAAGUUAGCAGUUAUAGCAGGUGGUUUUCAAAGGAGCAAAUGGAAGAGUACAUUCUUUCACAGAAGCUUUAUAGGUGGAAGGGGCCUUCAGAAUCCUCUGAAUGUAAGUGAGGCUUACUGUUCACGUGAAGAAACUGUUUUCUCCAGAGUCACAAAACUAGUUAAUGGCAGAGAAGGGAUUAGAGGCCAGCUCUUUUGAUUUCUGGGCCAAUAUUCCUUUUCCUCAGUAGAAGAUUAGAAACCUCUUAUUUUUUGUCUAAGUCUUCUGAAUAGCCUGCUGAGGCCAUGUAAAUUAUAUGCUGGAUAAAACAUAGGCUGACUUGAAAGGACACCUUUCCUUACAAGGUGGUGGGAGACAGGUCAGUGGGAUUGAGUGUGUUUUUAUUGCAGUCUUUCCAUGCCCAGUUGCUGACUGUCACAGGCUAGCCCAGAAGGAUGGGCAGGAUUAAAGGAUCUAUAGCUAGUCCCUCCUGGGCCAUCAUAUAACCACAGGUGUGGUUUUUCUUUUACUGUAGAUCAGCUACCAAGAGACUGCUCUGAGUGGAAACAACCUUCCCUUGAGGAGUUAGGGAAGAUGGGGAGGGCAGCUUAAGAUUCCAUGGAGUAAUAUGAGAAUUCUCUGCAACAGUGGAGUCUGGCAAUACUUCUGUCUUUGCCCAUCCUUAGUCUGCUCUCAAUUCUGAAAAUGCUAAGUGAAGGAUGCAAAAGAAAGACUAUUCCUUACACUUACCCCUCAGUGUAUGUUUGUGCCUGUUUGGGAGAAGAGAGAGCGAGGCUAGGUUCAUGAAAUUCCUACAUAUUAGUAGAGAUUGGAGGGUUUAGCUAGGAGAAAGCGAAGAAUACAUCAAUGGAAGAGGGGAAAAGAAUAAAUAAGAACUAGAGCUAAAAAUAAUUUCAGGUUGCUAAUCAUUAUAAAGCUGAUUAAUUUAAAAGAAGUUAAAAGUGCAGAUAAGAUCCUGGGUAGCUACUGCAUCACAGAAUCUUUGAGACCACAGUUUCCAGUCAGUAGAUGUUACCAGAAGAGUUAAUUAGCCCAAACUGUGGCUGCUAGUUCUUUAGCUGUCUUCAACUUGAAGGUUUUUUUUUUAAUAAGUUUUAGAGCUAAUUAGGAUACACCUGGGACUCAUGGCUAAAGCCAAUAGAGUUUCCCCUGGGGGAGUUACUUUUUAUAUACCAAAAUUUAAAAAAAGGAAAAAUGUCAGAUGAAAACAUCAUCUUUAGAUUCAGGAAAAAAAAAAAUGGCAUAACCAUUUCAACUCAGCAGACCACAAGGCCAAACAAGCUUUGGCUAGAAUUGAAUGCUGUGUGCUUCUGUUCAGAGAAGAGGAUGCUUCCCAGAUGUGUCUGGGGGACUACCUGCCUCACUCUUAUUUAUCAUCAGCUCUCACACAGGAUGUGGUGUCGCUGGCUGGUAAUCUGGAAAUGGCCUGUUUAUUUUUACAGAUCUGUAGAAGAGACUCAAUAGUUGUAAAGGAUGGAAGAGUGCAAAGCAGCUUGGAACUCACAACAAAGGAAACCGGGACGAAAAAAAUUAGAUAAAACAACUGUGACCAUGGGAUCUGCUCCUUGUGCCUGUCGAACAAAGGUGCUAAAUGGAUUUUCUCAUUUCAAAGGAAAGCCAAUUCUUCCUCCCAACCCUGCAGCCCAUGAUUGUAGAACAUCCAGACACCAUUUUUUUUUUUUUUUUUUUUUUAAGUUCAGGGAACCUUGGUAUUCUUUUCAACACCAGGACUGGUUGGUUCCUUUAUGAGUUUCGUAAAGAAAAGAAACCUCCCCCAGAGCUGCUUAGGCUGGUGAUUCUCUGUCUCAACCAGGCCUUUCUGGAUAAUUUCCCUCAUGUUAAAACCCUGCAGCAGACUGGAGAAAGAGGAUUCUCCAAAUGCUUGGCUGGGAUAGUGUUGCUGCUAAGUUCCUGCUUCUCCUGAAGUGUUAUCCUGAGUGUAACAACUUUCUGUUCUCUCUCCUGAGAAGAGAUAUGCCUGAGUUCUUGCAGUACCCUGGGACAUAAUUCAUUAUGGCCAGAAUGGAUUUGCUGUACAUAGGAGUCAUACUUCUAACCUGCCAUGUCCAUAGGUAUGUGAGGAUCUAGGAUGAAGCUGAGAGAAUUCUAUCCUGCUGGUUCAUACUCAGAAGGUUUCUAAGCCCACUGAUGACAGGAAAAUCUUCAGUGGUUCCAGAGACAAGCUGCUGGAAAUCCUGCACAUUUAUCUUCUAGAAGGAAGUGAGCUGAGUAGGAUAGUGGUACCUUCAGAAGGUACCUACCCCAAAACUUGAAAGAACUCCAAAGUAAACCAUGUCCAUUUCUGGGACCCUAAAGUGGCUCAUGAAAGUCAGGGUCCACUUGCUUAAGGUUAGGUGAUUUCAAGCCUUGAGAUUCUAAGGGGAGAGUGAAGGUGGGAAAGGGGAUGGUGAAUAGAUUGUGAGAACUUAUCAAAUAAUAGGACUUCUCUUUAAUUCCAAGCAUCAUGUUCUAUUUCACAUUGUAUCUUUCAAUUAAAAAAAGGAAAAGGAAAUGUGUCUUUUUUAAAAAAGAUAUUUUACUCUAUUAGUAUUCAGUACAUAAUAUAUGAGUGCACAUUCAUCAUUCAUUAGAUCUAGGUAGAUCACAACCUAAUUUACAAAUUCAAAAGCAUAAGUCAGAUCAACUCAAUUGCUCAAGGCCAUGUAUUCGUAAGCCAGGAGUAUGCACUGAAUAUUUCCUGUCCUUGGACUGCUCUACUGGGCUAUGCUGCUUUUCUAUAAGAAUUUGUUCAUAUGUUGAAUUUAACACAGUUUUGCUUAGCAGUUUAUAACACUUCACCUACGUGCACUUGUGUAAUAUAAAGUAUAAAAUUAAGUCAAUGAUCUACAAAAUUCAGAGCAAAGUAAUCUAAAUCAUUUGGAUCUUCCUAGAGAUUCUGAUUUCUUUUUUUUUUAAUUACACAAUUUUUUAAAUGUUUAUUUAUUUUUGAGAGAGAGGGGGGGUGGGAGGGGCAGAAAGAGAGGGAGACACAGGAUCCGAAGCAAUCUCUAGGUUCUGAGCUGUCAGAAAAGUGCCUGACAUGGGGCUCGAACUCAGAACUGUGAACUAUGACUUGAACUGAAGUUGGACACUUAACCACACAGUAGCCCCAAUUUCUUUUUAACCUGAAAAAAUAGAUAAUUACUCGAUAGCUUUAGCUCUAAGAUAUAUCUGACAGGCUAUUUUUAUUUGUUUGGUUUUCAGAAAUCAUAUCCAUGCGUUCUGCCCUCUAUAGUUUUUAGCAAAAUGAAUCAAAGCCACUCUGUACCCAAAGAUAACACCAGUGUUGUCUUUUUUUUCCUUCUAAACAUUGCAGUGCUUUACUUAAAGUGCUAUGCAGUAAAUUUACAGGGAAAGAAAAAUUUUAUUAAAUUAUAACUGAGAGGAGCUGAUUUUUUUACAUAGCAAACAAAAAAUUCCUUCAUGAAAGGCUAUAAAACCCAUAUUAUUUACCAGAGAGACCUUUCCUGUCUCCCAGGUAAACACUUACAGUGUGUAGACUUGUGUAAAUACAUAUUUAGGAGUGGCUAAAUAUGGCGAGGUAUUUUUAAAGGUGUAUUUACAAAGCUGAAUACAUAUAUUGGCAUUUCGGUAUGUGGAAGUCGUGUAUGCUGUUCUGCCGUCUAUUCAAAAUUCUAGCAGGACUCUGGUAGAUACACCUUGGAUAAUGGGACUGAGUUUCAAAACAUUCAUCUUUAAUCACAAUUACUAAGGACAGGCCCUUAAAUCAUUUCAAAAGGGUGAAAAUUUUCAACUAAUGGAAUUCGGGUCCUUCUUGCCAGUUUGACUUGAGGAAAAUUGUUCCAGAAAUGUGGCAUCAUUAGCGGAAGCAGAUCUCCUUUCUGAACAUCUUUGUGCAUAAAAUAACUGCCAUUUCACAUUCGGUUUAGAAUGUUACCAAAUAGUCAAAGAUACAGUUCAUUUGAUGGAUGGGUCAGCCAGGAAAUUUUAGUUAAGAGGGGAAAUAUCAUCAAGAUAUUUUUAAAAUACUUUAAAACACAUGAAAAUGUAAGUGAUAAACGCUGUCUGUUGCUAAUUCAAUAGCAGGAAGCUUCCUAUGAUAAUGUAGUGAAGCUCUGUCCAGAGGAUUCCCAGUGUCUACGUUCCUUUUUUACUUCUUGGGAAAUGUGUCUGUGAGGAAAAGAAUGUGAUCGUAACAGAGGUUGUAGACGCAUGAAAGAGCACUACGACCUCAGCUUCUGUUGUCUGCUGCGCCUCAGAUUGAAUGAGGAUCCCAUUUGUGUAAAAGCCUGUUUUAAGAUAGACAAGUUGAGAGUCUAAAUAGCUCUAGAGCUUGGACUAUCUCAGGAGCCUUUGGCUAAGAAGUCUAAACAAUGCUGCUAUUUCAUUUUUAAUGCAGCUUUUUCUAAAUGCUCUCAAUAUCCUCCAGUGGAGUAAUUGAAAAUCUUAUUAUGAGAAACCAUGUGGGGACAAAGAUUAUUCAAUCAGUGAAAUGAUUUCUCCAGUAAAUUUGAACUGGGCUGAGUUUUUUAACUUUACAAAAAUAUACAUCAUAUGUACAGGUCUUUCCCUAGGUCCCAGCACCCCAGAUUUGGGUUAAACCUGCUGGGUUCUAGAACUUUAAAUUAAAACAAACAAAUAAACAUGUAAAUAAAUAAGUAAAGUUUAUUUAAAAAUAUUCUGCCAGUGCUAUAAGGCCUCUGGAAUGUAGAAACUUCUCAUAUAUGUGCUGACACAAUUUUAGCUUUAACUGUGAAUGGUUGCACUCUGUACAUAUUACUUGUACCAGUAUUUUAGACUUGGAAAAAACAAGCUUUUCUGGCAAGAGACAAUCCUUGUUUCAGAUUUUUUUUUUAAAAUAUACGAGCAGGCACAAACACCUUCACAUUACGAUUUUUAUUAGUGUUAUCCCAUCUUUAAUUUUAUUCUAUGGCUAAGUAUCUCAUUUCCAAGUAAACUUCCAUUAGGAACAGAAAUUGCUGACACCACAUCUACUGACAGAAAUGCCACAACAUAAAUUAUGCCAAGAAAAUGCCGCUUUGGGUGGGGGGCAUGGUAGGGGGAACUUAGUUAGAUAAAAAGCCACUGUGCUACUGCCCAGCCUGCAACUCUGUCCCGCUGACCACUGAUAAAAUUUAUCACAGGGCCACAUACGGGAAGGCAGCUUAAAGAGUCGUCGUCUGUGGUAAAACGUGUAACAGCAAAACAGCUAAUGGAGCAUUAUUACUUUAUUGGAAAGCAAUAUCUCUGGAGGCUUCACUUUUCUAGCUUUAGCAAGUGUAUGAAUUGUUCUAUAUGCAGAAGAGCUGAUAUGAAGGAAAAAAUGGGUUAUCAGAACUCUGAAUGAUGGCAAUGGGCAUUUCCAGGGCUCACCAGUUCACCACUCUGCCCAGUACACUUAAGGAGCAAAAGGGUAAAUGAGUCCCAACAAAGUUAAAAACCAAUCUGAAUUUUCCUUCUUAAAAGAAUGCUGAUCUAUAAUGCUAAUGGUUUCUUUGUGAAGAAGCAGUCUUGUGUCUUGUAAAUUCCUGGCUAAUUGUUGUCAAAAUUCAGUCCUGGCGUUAGUAGAAAUGUAGUAAGUAGAAAGUAGAAAUAUCCAGAUUCCACUAGUAAAAGGAAUCUCAUUCACCAAGAUAUUUAAAAACUUUGUCAUUGGAUGGGGCUUAUUUUGGGGGGUUGGAAAGAAAGAGCUUGGCAUCUUUACAGUAACAAUUGAACGACUAGAAGGGUUACUAAUAAAAAUGAUUAGGUGGUGUGGUGCUUUAAAUGAUAGGGAAGAGGGCAUUUCAAAGACGUGAAGGAGAUUAAUUGUUAUCACUUGCUGCUCGAAUGAGGGAGAGUGACGUCACCAAGAUGGCGACCGAGGUUGUUCUUGACUUCCCCUCUCCUCGCGAGAGGAACAAGUAACAAGUAUUUAGGAAGGAGACAUCGCUAGAACUUGGGAGUGAGGCCGAAGCACCCCCGGCUCUGCACCACAGAGACCCAGACAGACUCCGUUAGAAAGGUAAGAGAAGCGGCUACAAUGACUGCAUUGCCUCUCCCCGAGAUUGGUGCGGCACCACACUGAGAGGUCUCACCUGAGCCUCCACUAGGAAAAUGACUGGCAUACCAGAGGAUUUAUUGCUCUUAUUUGCUACCCAUGAGCUAUGUCUUAAAACUUACGUAAUUGCACAUGCAAAGCGCCACUGUACUUUGCCCGUCCUACACAACAUGUGUCUCCACCUCUGAGCUUUUGUCCAUUCCUACAUGUUUUUUGAAGAAGUCAGGGAUUUCGGAUGGACUGCCUUCAGUUAAGGUAAGAGAAACCACGUUGCCACCUGAUGGGGUCACGCUUUGCUAAAUUUGAUCAUAACUGCAAAGCACGUUGGUAAGAGAGCAAAGUUUUCCUCUUUUACUGUCAACCUCAAGCAAAGAACCUCACAUCAUCACAUCAAUCUUUUUUUUUUUUUCCUUUUUUUCAGUUGUUAAUGCCAUGUUUAUAUAACCCCUUUUGGUAGCUGCUUGUGUACCUAGCCCCUACAGUUUCUUGGAUUAAUAUUUCAUGUUUACUACGUGAAGUUUAAAGUAGUACUUUAUUUUUCCUAAAUGCAUCUCAUUCAAGCUGUA